UCGGAUGUGGUGUACGGCACACAGCCAGCUUGCUUUAUCAGCGGCAGACUCGGUUCUAUAGACGCUGGCAGUCCGGGGUUCGACUCCCCGCGUCCGAA